UGGCUACAGAACGACGCUGGCGGCAGGCUUAACACAUGCAAGUCGAACGGGUGUAGCAAUACAUCAGUGGCAGACGGGUGAGUAACACGUGGGAACCUUCCUAGGGGUACGGAACAACUCAGGGAAACUUGAGCUAAUACCGUAUACGUCCGUGAGGAGAAAGAUUUAUCGCCCUUAGACGGGCCCGCGUAGGAUUAGCUAGUUGGUGGGGUAAAGGCCUACCAAGGCGACGAUCCUUAGCUGGUCUGAGAGGAUGAUCAGCCACACUGGGACUGAGACACGGCCCAGACUCCUACGGGAGGCAGCAGUGGGGAAUAUUGGACAAUGGGCGAAAGCCUGAUCCAGCAAUGCCGCGUGAGUGAUGAAGGCCUUAGGGUUGUAAAGCUCUUUUACCAGGGAUGAUAAUGACAGUACCUGGAGAAUAAGCUCCGGCUAACUCCGUG
rnacentral:rRNA from 1 species